CACACCGUGAGAGAAUGAAAAAAGAUUUGGGACGAGAUGUGGAUGAAUUUGAGGUUUUUGAACGAAUGCAUAAAAGAAAGCAAGGUACUGGAGAGUUUGUGGAUAACAAAUCGGCUCGAGUUAGUGAACAAUAUAAAGAGAGACAAAAUGUUGAUGAUCAGUCUACUCAACCUUCAUUCAAUCUCAAAUCAUGGUGUGAUGUGGUG